AGCAAUGCCCGUUAUAUAGGAAACCAGUGCAAGUGAAAAUUUUGGGCAACGAUAUAACAAUUGAAGGCAGGAGAUUAUGGUAAUAAUCGAUAAUUAAUCAUGACUAAGAGUUCAGCACUUCAGUUGAAGCUCUAUAAGCUCCUAAACUUUUUGAUGAGACAUGACAUUUAAACAUAUCUCACAGUGUUUUAUAAUUCUAUGCAAACAGUUAGUGAGUUAACUGACACUAAAAAU
rnacentral:misc_RNA from 1 species